GACGGAGGGUGCAAGCGUUGCUCGGAAUCAUUGGGCGUAAAGGGUGCGUAGGCGGCCUGGCAAGUCUCUUGUGAAAGCCCGCGGCUCAACCGCGGAAGGGCAGGAGAAACGGCGAGGCUAGAGGGCCGGAAGGGAGAGUGGAAUUCCCGGUGUAGCGGUGAAAUGCGUAGAGAUCGGGAGGAACACCAGUGGCGAAAGCGACUCUCUGGACGGUCACUGACGCUGAGGCACGAAAGCGUGGGGAGCAAACAGGAUUAGAUACCCCAGUAGUCC
rnacentral:rRNA from 1 species